AUUGAACGCUGGCGGCAGGCUUAACACAUGCAAGUCGAGCGGGGUGAUGGCGCUUGCACUAUCACUUAGCGGCGGACGGGUGAGUAAUGCUUAGGAAUCUGCCUAUUAGUGGGGGACAACAUCUCGAAAGGGAUGCUAAUACCGCAUACGUCCUACGGGAGAAAGCAGGGGAUCACUUGUGACCUUGCGCUAAUAGAUGAGCCUAAGUCGGAUUAGCUAGUUGGUGGGGUAAAGGCCUACCAAGGCGACGAUCUGUAGCGGGUCUGAGAGGAUGAUCCGCCACACUGGGACUGGGACACGGCCCAGACUCCUACGGGAGGAAGCAGUGGGGAAUAUUGGACAAUGGGGGGAACCCUGAUCCAGCCAUGCCGCGUGUGUGAAGAAGGCCUUAUGGUUGUAAAGCACUUUAAGCGAGGAGGAGGCUCUUUUGGUUAAUACCCAAGAUGAGUGGACGUUACUCGCAGAAUAAGCACCGGCUAACUCUGUGCCAGCCGCCGCCGUAA
rnacentral:rRNA from 1 species